UGGGGAAUAUUGCGCAAUGGGGGGAACCCUGACGCAGCCAUGCCGCGUGAAUGAAGAAGGCCUUCGGGUUGUAAAGUUCUUUCGGUAUUGAGGAAGGUUGAUGUGUUAAUAGCACAUCAAAUUGACGUUAAAUACAGAAGAAGCACCGGCUAACUCCGUGCCAGCAGCCGCGGUAAUACGGAGGGUGCGAGCGUUAAUCGGAAUAACUGGGCGUAAAGGGCACGCAGGCGGUUAUUUAAGUGAGGUGUGAAAGCCCUGGGCUUAACCUAGGAAUUGCAUUUCAGACUGGGUAACUAGAGUACUUUAGGGAGGGGUAGAAUUCCACGUGUAGCAGUGAAAUGCGUAGAGAUGUGGAGGAAUACCGAAGGCGAAGGCAGCCCCUUGGGAAUGUACUGACGCUCAUGUGCGAAAGCGUGGGGAGCAAACAGGAUUAGAUACCCUGGUAGUCCACGCUGUAAACGCUGUCGAUUUGGGGGUUGGGGUUUAACUCUGGCGCCCGUAGCUAACGUGAUAAAUCGACCGCCUGGGGAGUACGGCCGCAAGGUUA
rnacentral:rRNA from 1 species